CUGCUCAAUGAUUUUUUAAAUUGCUGUGGUAUUUUGACUAUACAAAGGUAUUGUAACAAGGCUUUAAUUGAGCACUAAAAGAAUGGAUUUUCAAAAAAAUUCUUUCUUCACUUUAAAAAUUAAAGUUAUUUUUAUUUGUGAAGAAACAAUAAUAAAAAUUUAGGACAAGAAGACCCUAUGAAUUUUCAUAAAUUUUUAUAAAAAGAUAUAUAAAGAUUUAUUUAAUUGGGGCGAUUAAUAAAUAUGUUAAACUUUAUUAAAAUAAAUAUGAUCCAUUAAUAUUGAUUAAAUGAAAUAAAUACUCUAGGGAUAACAGCGUAAUAAUUUUAGAUAGAUCUUAUAGAAAAAAUAGUUUGCGACCUCGAUGUUGGAUUAGGAUUCUUAUUUAAUGAAGAAGUUAAAUAAAGAAGUUUG
rnacentral:rRNA from 1 species